rnacentral:lncRNA from 1 species
AAAAAUGUAGCUUUAAUAAAGAAGGUUUAGGAUACACCGGUGAAACAAGUGAAUCAAAAAAUAAAAAGACUAUAUCAUGUUAAAAUUAAAGAAAAUAAAAGUCAUAUAUCCCCUUUCACAAAAUGUUCAUAUUGUAACAAAAAUGGUCACUCUUUUUAUAUGUGCAGUGCUAGAAAUGGAAACUAUAAAGGAAAACUGAUUUGGGUUCCCAAGGGAACAUAUACUGCACCAACCAUAACAAGAAGAGAAUUUCAUAAAUAGCAUUAUCAUACUUCUCACAAUCCAAUUACUCAUAGAAUGCUUCUUUCUGCUAAAGUUGAUUAUCCUAUGCCCAGUUUUGUAAAGGAAACUUCAAAUACUCCUUAUACAAAAUGGAAAACUAAAAUGGAAAACUCACCCUAAGGACCCUUCAAUUUAAAGGGUACCAACCUAUAAAACUAGUACAUAUAUUGCAGGUAUAUCUUGCAUCUGAUUUAAAUAAAAGCAAAUGGUAUCUUGAUAGUGGAUGCUCAAGACAUAUGACUGGAGACAAUACCAAAUUAAAAAAUUUGCAAGCUACAGACUUUGGUGAGGUAACUUUUGGUGAUAACAAUAAAG